rnacentral:rRNA from 1 species
AUACGUAGGGGGCGAGCGUUGUCCGGAAUUACUGGGCGUAAAGGGCGUGUAGGCGGCGUUUUAAGUUAGGCGUGAAAGACCCCGGCUUAACCGGGGGGUUGCGUCUAAAACUGGAGUGCUUGAGUGCAGGAGAGGAAAGCGGAAUUCCCGGUGUAGCGGUGAUAUGCGUAGAUAUCGGGAGGAACACCAGUGGCGAAGGCGGCUUUCUGGCCUGCAACUGACGCUGAGGCGCGAAAGCUGGGGGAGCAAACAGGAUUAGAUACCCUGGUAGUCCCAGCUGUAAACGAUGGAUACUAGGUGUAGGAGGUAUCGACCCCUUCUGUGCCGGAGUUAACGCAAUAAGUAUCCCGCCUGGGGAGUACGGCCGCAAGGUUGAA